AAUGACAUUUGUUUAUACUGCUAUCUAGUUUUUUUGUUUUUUGUUUUUUUUUAAUCUGGUUAGAAACUGCUAAGGUGGGCCUUGGAGGUAUAUCCAGGUAGUAGAGUGCUUACCUGGCAUACACAAAGCCCAGGGUAAACUGGCUGUGGUGGCAAAAGCCUGAAUGUUGGUAAUCCCACCACUCAGGAGAGAGGGGACAAGAGGAUCAGAAGUUCCGGGUCAUUCUCCGCCACACUGGACUGGGGGCCACACUGGCCCGGGAUAUCUGAGAUGCUGUCUCAAAACAAUCAAGUAACUACAUUAAGACAAUUACUAAGGUCUCUUCUGGAUACUAUGAUGGGAAAUAACUGCUAUUUUCUAAAUAUACAGUCUCCAAUUCUGUUGUAGUUGCUCCUCUGUCCAUGAUCAUUAUUGUGCUUAUAGCCAAGGGGCUGGGAAGACAGUCACAGGAGAUUUGGGCAUGAGUUUAUCUUCGAUUCACAAGAAACCUAACAAAGAUGCAUUUUUUCAUGAUUUCCAAGAUAAGGCAAAAAAGGAGAUUUGUCCAUGUUAUCAGAAAAAACAUUUUCACACACACACACACACAAAAUCCAAUUCUCAUCUUUGCUUUUCAUGGGCUUCUGAAAAUAGAACAUUUGAGAUAAAAUUUGGAGAGGAACUUGGAAUGUUUCUCUUGGGUUUCUGCCUUUACCGGUAGAAUAACUGUGCUUGGUUAAAUAAACGAAUAGGAUUCUUUGAAAUUC
rnacentral:lncRNA from 1 species